AUGAAGUUUAUGAAACUUGGCACCAGGCCCGACACCUUCUACUCCUCCUCCGACUCCGAGAGGUCCGUGUACACGGAGGUGGCCACUGACCUGCAGAUCCUGGUGGGCAAAUGCCUCUACCAUCUCCACAAGUUUCCUCUGCUCUCCAAAUGCCUGCUUCUGCAAGCGCUCUGUGCCGAGUCCGGCUGCGGCGGCGACGGCGACGUCAUCGAGCUGGCGGGCUUCCCGGGCGGCGCCGAGGCGUUCGAGGUCUGCGCCAAGUUCUGCUACGGCAUCACAAUCACCGUCAGCGCGCGCAACCUCGUCCCGCUCCGCUGCGCCGCCGCUCACCUCGGCAUGUCCGAGGCCGCCGACCGCGGCAACCUCGUGGCCAAGCUCGACUCCUUCCUCGCCUCUUGCCUCCUCCGCCGGUGGAAGGAUGCGCUCGCCGUGCUCCACUCCACGCGCCACAACGUGCCGCUGUGCGAGGAGCUCGGCCUCACCUCCCGCUGCGUGGACGCCGUCGCCGACCUCAUCGCCAACCCUGCCGCCGCCGUUCUCCCCGCCAAGUCCACGUCCGCGUCGCCCUGGUGGGCGCACGACGUCGCGGAGCUUGGCGUUGAUAUGUUCUGGCGUAUCAUGGUGGCCGUAAAAUCGACGGGCGCCGUCAACGAGAAGACGAUCGGCGAUGCGCUCAAGACUUACGCGCGCCGGUGGCUGCCCAACGUUGCCAAGGACGGGCUCGCCGCGGAGCAGCCGUUCGACGACGCCGUCGGCGCCAGCGUGAAGCAGAUCACCACGAGGCACCGCCUCCUCCUGGAGAAGAUCGUGAGCCUUCUCCCGGUGGACAAGGACGCCGUCUCCUGCGCCUUCCUCCUCAAGCUCCUCAAGGCGGCCAACAUCCUGAGCGCGUCCCCCGCGUCCAAGGCAGAGCUGGUGAGGAGGGUGGCAUGGCAGCUCGAGGAGGCCAGCGUUAGCGACCUGCUCAUCCCGUCAGUGUCCUGCAUGAGUGACAUGCUGUACGACGUGGACGCCGUGGCGGCCAUCCUCCACGAGUUCGCGCUGCGGCACGCGGCGGCCACCGCGCCGGCGAGGAGCCCCGACGACAACAGCCCGGCACGGUCGGACGGGCACCGGCGGUCGAGGUCCGACGAGAGCGUGGGGUUCGACGGCGCGCGGCGGUCGUCGUCGGCCGCGCCGGUGUCGCAGUACGCGUUGGCGAGGGUGGGCAGGCUCGUGGACGCGUUCCUGAUGGAGGUGGCCAAGGAUCCCCACCUGCCCGUGGAGAAGCUGCUCGCGAUUGCCGAGGCCGUGCCUGACAGCGCUCGCCCGGAGCACGACGGGCUCUACAAAGUCGUCGACUCGUACCUCAAGGUGCAUCCGGAGAUGAGCAAGAGCGCAAGAAAGCGGCUGUGCCGGGUGCUCAACUGCCGGAGGCUGUCGGAGAAGGCGUGCUCGCACGCGGCGCAGAACGAGCUUCUCCCGCUCCGCGUCGUGGUGCAGGUGCUCUUCUUCGAGCACGCGCGGGCGGCGGCGCUGUCGGGCGCGCCCGUCGCCGGCGAGCUGCCUAGCAACAUCAAGGCGCUGCUGUCCAAGUCCGGGUCGGAGGAGGACGACGCCGACCGGGUGGACGAGCAGCGGCUGCGUGCCCUGGCGUCCGGCGCGUCACCGGGGGACGACUGGAGCGUGGAGGGGCUCCGGCGCGCGGCGUCCAAGAUCGCCACGCUGCGCAUGAAGAUGGAGGAGGACGAUGAGGACGACGAGGAGUUCGUGCGCAAGGCCGGGCUGUCGCGCAGCGCGUCGCUGCGGUUCAGGGCCUUCUGCGCUAUGCCGGCGGGGAACCCGAAGCGGAUGCUCAGCAAGCUGUGGCCGCUGGGAAGAAGCGUCUCCGCCGACCGGCAUUAG
rnacentral:rRNA from 1 species